GCGGGGCCAGGGCCGCGGGGCGGAGCCGGGACAGGGUCCACGGCAGCCGCCAUCUUGGCUGAGGGCAAAGACGCUCCUGGCGCUCCCGUCUUUCGGCUUGCCUCAGUUGCCACUGCCAUCUUGGAUCAGGGGCGGUUGACGGUGGAUUCACUUCCCAUCAGCCCUUGAGGCUGCAGGGACCAGCCCUUUGUACAGUGGAGAAGCCCAGGCGGCCUAGAAUCCAGUGUCGUCCGUGAGUGCUUGGCUGGUGUUCAAGUGCAUCUUCCAGCCUGAGACCGCGUGGACUCGCUCAUCGUGAGGGCGAGAGGAGGAUAAGCCCAUUGGGCUGUCGGCUGAGAGUGAGGUGCGGGACCAUCCACAAUAUUGUUUGAACAUCUGAAGACAUGGGGAACUUGCCAUCUGAUAUCUGAUAACAGACUUCCUGUAAAGCAGGACUGGUAGUUUCCUGAUAACAAAUUCUUCAAUAUGAAGGAUAUAGCUGUGUCCUUUACAACUGGUAGCAUGGAAAGAAAGAGAAGUCUGCAAAGAUUGAACAAACAGCAUGCACUGUG
rnacentral:lncRNA from 1 species